GUGGUGGCAGUGAUGGGCCUGGGCAAGUUGUGACAGGCCCAUCGCAGCCAGCACGGCAGCCUCCGCUAUUCCAGACAGUGCUAUACAGAUUUGUUCAUAGUUUUUUUAUAGUCCGGUCUUCCAAUAGCCUGAGGGACCCCUGUGUAAAAAGUUUGGGGGCCCCUGCUCUAGAGAGACAAGGGAAAAGAGUAUAAGAGAAAUUUGAAAGGGUACCCUUGAUUAGAGACUUAAUAAUGAUGGUGAAGAGUAAAAGGUGACUAAGAAGGAUUAGUCAGAUAGGUAGUAGGAAAACGAGGAGAUAACAAUGUCAAACAAACAAACAGACUGGAGAAGAGAGCAUUUCAGAAAGGACAGGGCAAUGGAUAGAUAGCAUCAAAGGCUUCAGAGGAGUUGAGAGGAGUGAGGAUUUAGAAGAAGUCAUUUGAUUUUGCCACUAAGAGAUUAUUGAUAACCUUGGAGAGAGUAGCUUUAGUUGAAUGUUGCAGUUAGAAAUGAAAGUCAAGAAUGAAUGAGAGGAGAGCAAGUAAGGCUUAAUUGUACUUGGAAGCACUGAAUACAGAAAGUAGAUGUAAAAGGGAGCAAAGAAGAUCAUACCUCAAUGAUAUUAUAGCACUUAGUGACUAUUUUUAUAGAGCUAGAGACAGAAGCAGAGAAAAGAGGAGAAAUAGAGAGAUAGAAUGAGGGAAGGGAAAGAGACAACAGAAAGAGACAGAGAGAUCAACAUCUAAAAGUGGAGCCAAGAUGGCAAGGGAGAGAAAUCACUCAGCUGAGCUCUCCCAACUUUCCCCUCCAAACAACUUUAAAAUAAUGCCUCAAGUCAAAGUCUGGAGUGGCAGAUUCAACAAAAAGUCAGAGCGAGAUAUUCUUCCAGUCCGAGACAAUGUAGGAGGCUGAAGAGAAAGAUUUGUGAAGACUGCCCUAGAACUCGUAUAGAUGAAAUUCCAUUGUUGGGCCAACAUGGCAGUGACAGAAGCAGCAGCAGCAGCAGCUUCAGGAGCUAUCAAGACAGAUAUGGACAAUUUUGAGAAAACUAGUACAAUAAUGCCUGCCUUCAAGAAGGUUACAAUUCCAUUGGAAAAUCUCAAGCUGUGGAGUUCUCUACUGGGGUGGAAAACAGACUCCUUCAUCCUCCCCUUCUUCUCAUCCUGACACCAGACACUGUUACCUCUAUGGGCCUCAGGACACAUCAUCUCUUUGACCAUUAAAUUCUUCCAGGAGUUGGGGGAUACGGAGUUCAUAUAAGAUAACCUACGGAUGAGGGAGAAGGCAUGAGCAAUUA
rnacentral:lncRNA from 1 species